CCCCAGGGAGACGGUGUUUACAACUGCCACUUCCGGAGACUCGACUUCCCUGGCAGACCUCCGCAGACUUUCGCUGGCCGCGGCCCCGCCCGGGCCCGGGCGGCCCCUUUCCUCCCGCCUCCGGCAGCCGACAGCUCCAGGAUACGCACUCGGAGAACGCCGGGCUCCGAGUGGAAGAUCCGGGCCCGCGAAGCUGCGCGGCUUUGCUGGAAGGGAGGAAGAAUUUGACUUGAAAAAACCACAAGGGCCCCUAAAAAUAAUUGUGGAAGAAUUGGGGGAACCAUAUUGGAAUUUGAAUAAUCACAUGAAGGGGUUUUUUUUGGCUGUGAGGCUUGCAGGAUUUUCCCCGACCAGGGAUUGAACCCGUGCCCCCUGCCAUGGAAGCACAGAGUCCUAACCACUGGACGGCCAGGGAUUGCCCAAGAAGUGUUAUUCUAAAUGUAGCUAUGCUGGCUUUUGUUAGGUAACCCAAAACAGGAAGAAAAAUCCCUUGAAAGAUUUACGGCACUAUAUUGGUAGUGAGUUAGAAGAGCACAUAAGGAUAAAAAUUCAGUACAUCUCUUCCCCUUUUUUUGUUCUACUCUAACCAGGAGGCAAGAAGUAGGAGCGGGUAAAAGGGUACUGAAUUGAACUUGAGAGGCCUGACCAAUCUAAGCUGGACUGAAGAGACUAGACUGAAUAAGAAGCUGAGUUUGCCCCCUUCACAACUAAUUCUACGUCUUAAUUUUCCCUUUACCUAAAAUGUCAGUGAAGAAAACACAUGACAGCCUCUCAGCAUCGCUCCUGUGCAACAUUUUUGACCAUUUCCUCAGCCUUGCAGCUGUUUGGAAAACUGUACCUUAGGUAUGUAUAAAUACACACUUGAACUUUAUAAUGAGCAUGGUCAUACUUCCUUUCUCGAUCAUAUAUACUAAUGUGAAAUUAUAACUAUAGACUAAGUAGUUUAUGGUAUUUAAUUUUUAUACAAAGAGGAAAUGUAUAACUGCAUUUAGAAGAUGAAAUUUUAUAUAUCUGCAUAGUCCUCAAAAAAAGUAUUCUGGCAUUCAACAGUGAUGAUGUUGCAUAUGGUUAAAAUGCUCUAAAACCUCUACCAGUGUAUUGCUUACUCAUGCUGUUAAACUACAAAUGUUAUGAUGAGAAAAGUAAGCUCAACUAAAUUCAUGCAAAACUAAAUAAUUCUGAAUCCCAGACGUCCAUGUCUUUGAAACAUUGCACAAAGGAAAACAAUUUCUGAAUAGAGUUAGUAGAAAUAACAUUAUAGCCUAGCUUUCUAAGUUCUGCAUUUAUAUUUUCACAGCCAGUUUCUUCUAUCUUUAUGUAGUUUAAAAUUAUUAUCUUCCUUUACGAAUAUGUUUAUAUAGCUUUUCCCAACACUGUUUAUUUAACAUUGCUUAAAUCCUGUGCUCUAAAACAACUAAUUUUACUGUUCCUAGCUAUACAGAUGGUCCCCAACUUAUGAUGGUUCCACUUACAAUUUUUGACUUUAUGGUGGUGUGAAAGUGAUCCAAAUUCAAUAGAAAUGGUACUUCAGAUUUUGAAUUUUGAUUUUUUUUUCCUGGGCUAGUAAUAUGUGCUUUGGAUUUUCUCAUGAUGCUGGGCAGUGGUACCGAGCUUCUGAUCACCAGGGUAAACAACCAUUCUGUGACUAUAUAACCAGUCUAUUUUUCAUUUUCAUUACAGUAUUCAGUAGAUUACAUGAGACUUUCAACAUUUUAUUAUAAAAUAGGCUGUGUGUUAGAUGACUUUGCACAACUGUAGGCUGAUGUAAGUGUUCUGAGCAUGCUUGAGGUAGACUAGGCUAAGCUACAAUAUUCAGUAGGUUAUGUGUAUUAAAUGCAUCUCUGACAGGAUAUUUUCAACUUACAAUGGGUUUAUCGGGAUGUUGCCCCAUCGUAAGUCAGACAGAUCUGUAAUAUAAACACUGGGGCAAUGUUAUGAAGGUUUGGAAAUCUUAUACAAAGCUUCUUGAUUGGAAAAGGUAAAUAAAGAGCCCAUAGGGAAGCAGAACCCAAUUCUCUUCUCUGAACUCUGAGAGCUGUUUAUUUGUUGCUCUAUGGUGGUAUUUUUUACUUCCUCUCUUGUUUUAUAGAUAUUUUUGUACUUUGAGCUCCUAUGGAGGCUAGGAUGAUAUCUUAGACGUUCAAUAAAUAUCUGCAGUUGAAUAUAUAUUAGUUAGUUAAAAUAAAAAUGGGCGAACUACAUUCCCCAAAGAUAAAUUACUAGCUAGAAGUAAUGGUUCAUAAACAUGUUAAGGCAGGAGAGGAGCUGGAUAUACUAGAGAAAGUUCAAGAAUUAUACCCAGAAUGGAGAAAUAGAAGAGGAAU